CGUUCUUGGGGACUGUAAUCCAGGGACCCAAUCGCACCACUUCCAUGAGUUGGCAUGAAACCGAUGAUUGCCAGCAGAGCAGUGCGCACUGACCACGACGGCUGCCAUGAUUCAGGGUGGUGGCCAGAGAUGCUCAGGCAGAUCUUCUUGUUGGUCUCAAAGCGUCCAUUAGGCUGAUAUGAAAAGCAAAGUUUUAAGCUGCCAGAACUAUACUGGGAAUCUGCUUAAAGCUGGCAAUACAUAACCAAAGCAAGCAUUCAAAUUUCUCGGUGUAAACAUCAUAUCCAGGAGCAGAACUAAUUAAUCUACUAACAAGACAUCAACGUAUGAAUCACAUGCAUUAACGUUUACUUUCUGAGGUGUUGCUGUAAGGCGAUUUGUCGUUAUGCUGCUACUGGAAUAAGCGCUAGCUGUCAGGACACUGUGAUGACAUGAUUUGAUGGCGGUCUUACCGUCAAAAGAAUGAUGCUCGGCGGCUUCAUGGGAUAGUCUGGGGGUAGAAUUACGCGGCCAUGGUAGAUGCCUCCUUCAAAUUCCGACUCCGGCGGCCCACGCACAGUGAAGUGCCACUCAAACAGAUUAUCCUGCAAUCAACACGCGCACUUUCAGCAUAAAGGCGUGCCUCGAAGCUGCCGCAAGCCAAGCACUUCCUUACUUCCAAUGGUUGCGCAAAAUACUCUUCCGUCGCUUCGUGCAGCUCCUGGGCCUCUCGCAUAAGACGCUUCACGGCUGCAAAACGACAGUGCACAUCAAACAUUCACUCGAACGGUCACAGUGGUGACACGAUCAGAGCCGUAAAGUAGCUCACCUGGGCUGCGGAGAUUGUACUGCCCCUCCAUAGCAAGCGGUUGAGCGUAGCAAUAUUCGCACCUAAAAUUUGACGGUCCUGAACACCUUGAGCGUGCUCUACGGGAAAAGCAUUGUUAAUUAGCACGGCACAAGGAACUACAAACGAAAGUGACUGUGGCUGCGCGCAG
rnacentral:lncRNA from 1 species